rnacentral:rRNA from 1 species
GGGGCGUACGGGAGGCAGCAGCUAAGAAUAUUCCGCAAUGGACGAAAGUCUGACGGAGCGACGCCGCGUGGAUGAUGAAGGCCGGAAGGUUGUAAAAUCCUUUUGUCGGGGAAGAAUAAGCAUGGGAGGGAAUGCCCGUGUGAUGACAUGAACCGGCGAAUAAGCCCCGGCUAACUACGUGCCAGCAGCCGCGGUAACACGUAGGGGGCGAGCGUUGUUCGGAAUUACUGGGCGUAAAGGGCAUGUAGGCGGUUCUGUAAGCCUGGCGUGAAAGGCUAUGGCUCAACCAUGGCACUGCGUUGGGAACUGCGGGACUUGAAUCAUGGAGAGGGAGCUGGAAUUCCAGGUGUAGGGGUGAAAUCUGUAGAUAUCUGGAAGAACACCGGUGGCGAAGGCGAGCUUCUAUCAGAGGACUGACGCUGAGGCGCGAAAGCGUGGGGAGCAAACAGGAUUAGAUACCCUGGUAGUCCACGCUGUAAACGAUGUGCACUAGGCGUGGGGCACGUCCGUGCUCUGUGCCGUAGCUAACGUGAUAAGUGCACCGCCUGGGGAGUAUGCUCGCAAGGUGAAACUCGAAGGAAUUGACGGG